rnacentral:rRNA from 1 species
UCGAACGAGAGAGAGGGAGCUUGCUUCCUUGAUCGAGUGGCGAACGGGUGAGUAACGCGUGAGGAACCUGCCUCAAAGAGGGGGACAACAGUUGGAAACGACUGCUAAUACCGCAUAAGCCCACGACCCGGCAUCGGGAAGAGGGAAAAGGAGCAAUCCGCUUUGAGAUGGCCUCGCGUCCGAUUAGCUAGUUGGUGAGGUAACGGCCCACCAAGGCGACGAUCGGUAGCCGGACUGAGAGGUUGAACGGCCACAUUGGGACUGAGACACGGCCCAGACUCCUACGGGAGGCAGCAGUGGGGAAUAUUGCACAAUGGGGGAAACCCUGAUGCAGCGACGCCGCGUGGAGGAAGAAGGUCUUCGGAUUGUAAACUCCUGUUGUUGAGGAAGAUAAUGACGGUACUCAACAAGGAAGUGACGGCUAACUACGUGCCAGCAGCCGCGGUAAAACGUAGGUCACAAGCGUUGUCCGGAAUUACUGGGUGUAAAGGGAGCGCAGGCGGGCGAUCAAGUUGGAAGUGAA